rnacentral:rRNA from 1 species
GAUGAACGCUGGCGGCGUGCCUAAUACAUGCAAGUCGAGCGAACGGACGAGAAGCUUGCUUCUCUGAUGUUAGCGGCGGACGGGUGAGUAACACGUUGAUAACCUACCUAUAAGACUGGGAUAACUUCGGGAAACCGUAGCUAAUACCGGAUAAUAUUUUGAACCGCAUGGUUCAAAAGUGAAAGACGGUCUUGCUGUCACUUAUAGAUGGAUCCGCGCUGCAUUAGCUAGUUGGUAAGGUAACGGCUUACCAAGGCAACGAUGCCUAGCCGACCUGAGAGGGUGAGCGGCCACACUGGAAGUGAGACACGGUCCAGACUCCCAAGGGAGGAAGCAGUAGGGAAUGAUCCGCAAUGAGCGAAAGACUGACGGAGCAACGCCGCGUGAGUGAUGAAGGUCUUCGGAUCGUACAACUCUGUUCUUAGGGAAGAACAUACGUGUAAGUAACUGUGGACAUCUUGACGGUACCCAAUGAGAAAGCAACGGCUAACUACGUG